rnacentral:rRNA from 1 species
UGAGGAACAUGACUUUCGGCGGGGGAUAGCCGGCCCAACGGCCGGGUAAUACCGCGUACGACCUCUCGGGGACAUCCCCGGUUGGUGAAAGCAGCAAUGCGCCGAAAGAGUGCCUCGCGGCCUAUCAGCUAGUUGGUGGGUAAUGGCUCACCAAGGCGACGACGGGUAGCUGGUCUGAGAGGAUGGCCAGCCACAUUGGGACUGAGACACGGCCCAGACUCCGUACGGGNGCAGCAGG